AUUGAACGCUGGCGGCAUGCUUUACACAUGCAAGUCGAACGGUAACAGGCCUUCGGGUGCUGACGAGUGGCGAACGGGUGAGUAAUGCAUCGGAACGUACCCAGAGGUGGGGGAUAACGCAGCGAAAGCUGUGCUAAUACCGCAUGUGAUCUGAGGAUGAAAGCGGGGGACCGAGCAGCAAUGUUUGGCCUCGCGCCUUUGGAGCGGCCGAUGUCGGAUUAGCUAGUUGGUGGGGUAAAGGCCUACCAAGGCGACGAUCCGUAGCUGGUCUGAGAGGACGACCAGCCACACUGGGACUGAGACACGGCCAAGACUCCUACGGGAGGCAGCAAUGGGGAAUUUUGGACAAUGGGCGCAAGCCUGAUCCAGCAAUGCCGCGUGCGGGAAGAAGGCCUUCGGGUUGUAAACCGCUUUUGGCAGGAACGAAACGGUGUCCGCUAAUACCGGGCGCUAAUGACGGUACCUGCAGAAUAAGCACCGGCUAACUACGUG
rnacentral:rRNA from 1 species